rnacentral:tRNA from 1 species
GGGGUUGUAGCUCAGUGGUAGAGCACUUGCCUCGCAUGUGUGAGGCCCUGGGUUCGGUCCUCAGCACCA